GAUGAACGCUAGCGGCAGGCUUAAUACAUGCAAGUCGUGGGGCAGCAGGUUUGUAGCAAUACAGAUGCUGGCGACCGGCAAACGGGUGCGGAACACGUACAGAACCUUCCUUUGAGCGGGGAAUAGCCCAGAGAAAUUUGGAUUAAUACCCCAUAGUAUAAUGAAGUGGCAUCACUUUAUUAUUAAAGAUUUAUCACUCGAAGAUGGCUGUGCGGCUGAUUAGGUAGUUGGCGGGGUAAAGGCCCACCAAGCCUGCGAUCAGUAACUGGUGUGAGAGCACGACCAGUCACACGGGCACUGAGACACGGGCCCGACUCCUACGGGAGGCAGCAGUAAGGAAUAUUGGUCAAUGGAGGCAACUCUGAACCAGCCAUGCCGCGUGGAGGAUGAAGGUCCUCUGGAUUGUAAACUUCUUUUAUAUGGGACGAAAAAAGGCUUUUCUAAGUCGUCUGACGGUACCAUAUGAAUAAGCACCGGCUAACUCCGUGCCAGCAGCCGCGG
rnacentral:rRNA from 1 species